rnacentral:rRNA from 1 species
UACGGGGGGGGCAAGCGUUGUUCGGAAUUACUGGGCGUAAAGGGCUCGUAGGCGGCCAACUAAGUCGGACGUGAAAUCCCUCAGCUUAACUGGGGAACUGCGUCCGAUACUGGAUGGCUUGGAUUUGGGAGAGGGAUACGGAAUUCCAGGUGUAGCGGUGAAAUGCGUAGAUAUCUGGAGGAACACCGGUGGCGAAGGCGGCAUCCUGGACCAAUAUUGACGCUGAGGCGCGAAAGCCAGGGGAGCAAACGGG